rnacentral:rRNA from 1 species
ACUGGGGAUAAUUCCGGAUAGGUCACAGAUGCUGGAAUGCACUGUGGCUCAAAGCUCCGGCGCCGAAGGAUGGGUCUGCGGCCUAUCAGGGUUGUAGUGGGUGUAAUGUACCUACUAGCCUACGACGGGUACGGGUUGUGAGAGCAAGAGCCCGGAGAUGGAUUCUGAGACACGAAUCCAGGCCCUACGGGGUGCAGCAGGCGCGAAAACUUUACAAUGCGGGAAACCGUGAUAAGGGAAUCUCGAGUGCCAGCAUAUAAUGUUGGCUGUCCAGAUGCCUAAAAAGCAUCUGUUAGCAAGGGCCGGGCAAGACCGGUGCCAGCCGCCGCGGUAACACCGGCGGCCCGAGUGGUAACCGCUUUUAUUGGGUCUAAAGGGUCUGUAGCCGGCCAUGUAAGUCCCUUGGGAAAUCUGGCAGCUCAACUGUCAGGCUGCUAGGGGAUACCGCUUGGCUUGGGACCGGGAGAGGUGAGAGGUACCUUGAGGGUAGGGGUGAAAUCUUGUGAUCCUCGGGGGACCACCAGUGGCGAAGGCGUCUCACCAGAACGGGUCCGACGGUAAGGGACGAAAGCUAGGGGCACGAACCGGAUUAGAUACCCGGGUAGUCCUAGCCGUAAACGGUGCUCGCUAGGUGUCAGUCACGGUGCGACCGUGAUUGGUGCCGUAGGGAAGCCGUGAAGCGAGCCACCUGGGAAGUACGGCCGCAAGGCUGAAACUUAAAGGAAUUGGCGGGGGAGCACUACAACGGGUGGAGCCUGCGGUUUAAUUGAUC